UAAUGAAAAAGUCUUUUAUAGACAAGUAAUGAAAAUUAACGAAAGUGACAACAAUACGGAGAGUGUGACAAUGUAUCAGGAAUGCCUUUGUCGCUGGUUUCACAAACCAUAAGCCAGUUUUGAUAAUAAUAAACAAAUUGACCAGAUGGCCCUGCAUUAUUUUUGGUUACGGAAAAUGGCUGUGGAUAUUCUCAGGCGCGAGAAAGAAGAAAAAGAAGCGGAAGAAUAAUAAGGAACGAGCAAAAACAAUAAGUCUCCAAACUUAUGAAGUCAUUGGUUGAUCUGAAAUUUGACAAACGUGUCAAGAUGUAACAUUCGUGGUGUAACAUUCGUUACCGAGAAAUUAAUUAAAGGGAAUGAUAGAACACUUUCCGGCGUAUUUUUGCUCUCUCUCUCUCUCUGCAUGAUGUGGUAUACGACAUGAACGUCUACUAUGAACAUUUGAGUUUGAAAGUCAAUACGUGUUAAAAAUGGCACUUGUGAGAGCAGAAGUACAUAAUAACUACCAUGAAAAAAAAAUGUAUUAAAACAUAAGAACAACCAUGAAAAAAUGUUUUAGAAAUAAUAUUAUAUGCUCCCCUUGUGGCAAUACUGAAAAGGUAGAAUGUCUGUAUAGACAGUGAAAAUAAAGGUUUAACUACCGGUCAAAGGCUACCAUAAUGAUACAUGUAAGUUUUGUCUCUCAAAAUACUUAUAAGCAACUGGUCAUUUGAGUAAUUUUGUAUGACCUUUGACCUUGUGACUUGGAAUCCAAUGGGGGUCAUCUAUUUAUGAGGGGCACCAGUGUUUCAAGUUUGAUGUCUAUCAAGGAAAGAUUUCUCAACGGACAAUAGGGUAUGUCCAGAGUAGUUUAACCGUUGUCCUUUUGACCUCAAAAUUAAUAGGGGACAUCUAUGUCUUAAGGUUCACGUUAAAUAUUCAUUCAUAACACCGCGUGAUGGAUUAUACUGACAGUUUCUAUGGAAAGGUAUUCCAAAAUAAGCAACAAAAACAUAAGACUCGGUAUACAUUUAAUCAAAAUGUUGGGAAAUUAAACAUUUUCUUUAUAUUAUUAUUGUAAACAGAUUGUUAGAAAUGGGUAAAUAUGAUUCUUUCCAUUUUUUGAAUCGAAAUGAUGUGUUUAUAGUAAUGAAAGGAAAAAUAAGAAACAUACGUUACUUUCAUUGUUUAUUAUAACAAAGAGCAAUCCAGGUUUCAAAAUAUGUGUCUGUUAUUUCUAUAAGAAUCAUGAGAAUUUAUAUAGCGAAA